UACGAAGGGAGCUAGCGUUGUUCGGAAUCACUGGGCGUAAAGCGCACGUAGGCGGAUUUGUCAGCCAGGGGUGAAAUCCCGGGGCUCAACCUCGGAACUGCCUUUGAUACAGCAAGUCUUGAGUUCGAGAGAGGUGGGUGGAAUUCCUAGUGUAGAGGUGAAAUUCGUAGAUAUUAGGAAGAACACCGGUGGCGAAGGCGGCCCACUGGCUCGAUACUGACGCUGAGGUGCGAAAGCGUGGGGAGCGAACAGG
rnacentral:rRNA from 1 species